rnacentral:rRNA from 1 species
AGAAGCUUGCUUCUCUGAUGUUAGCGGCGGACGGGUGAGUAACACGUGGAUAACCUACCUAUAAGACUGGGAUAACUUCGGGAAACCGGAGCUAAUACCGGAUAAUAUUUUGAACCGCAUGGUUCAAAAGUGAAAGACGGUCUUGCUGUCACUUAUAGAUGGAUCCGCGCUGCAUUAGCUAGUUGGUAAGGUAACGGCUUACCAAGGCAACGAUGCAUAGCCGACCUGAGAGGGUGAUCGGCCACACUGGAACUGAGACACGGUCCAGACUCCUACGGGAGGCAGCAGUAGGGAAUCUUCCGCAAUGGGCGAAAGCCUGACGGAGCAACGCCGCGUGAGUGAUGAAGGUCUUCGGAUCGUAAAACUCUGUUAUUAGGGAAGAACAUAUGUGUAAGUAACUGUGCACAUCUUGACGGUACCUAAUCAGAAAGCCACGGCUAACUACGUGCCAGCAGCCGCGGUAAUACGUAGGUGGCAAGCGUUAUCCGGAAUUAUUGGGCGUAAAGCGCGCGUAGGCGGUUUUUUAAGUCUGAUGUGAAAGCCCACGGCUCAACCGUGGAGGGUCAUUGGAAACUGGAAAACUUGAGUGCAGAAGAGGAAAGUGGAAUUCCAUGUGUAGCGGUGAAAUGCGCAGAGAUAUGGGGGAACACCAGUGGCGAAGGCGACUUUCNUGGUCUGUAACUGACGCUGAUGUGCGAAAGCGUGGGGAUCAAACA